rnacentral:rRNA from 1 species
AGUGAACGCUGGCGGUAGGCCUAACACAUGCAAGUCGAACGGCAGCACAGGAGAGCUUGCUCUCUGGGUGGCGAGUGGCGGACGGGUGAGGAAUACAUCGGAAUCUACUUUUUCGUGGGGGAUAACGUAGGGAAACUUACGCUAAUACCGCAUACGACCUACGGGUGAAAGCAGGGGACCUUCGGGCCUGGCGCGAUUGAAUGAGCCGGUGUCGGAUUAGCUAGUUGGCGGGGUAAAGGCCCACCAAGGCGACGAUCCGUAGCUGGUCUGAGAGGAUGAUCAGCCACACUGGAACUGAGACACGGUCCAGACUCCUACGGGAGGCAGCAGUGGGGAAUAUUGGACAAUGGGCGCAAGCCUGAUCCAGCCAUACCGCGUGGGUGAAGAAGGCCUUCGGGUUGUAAAGCCCUUUUGUUGGGAAAGAAAUCCAGCUGGCUAAUACCCGGUUGGGAUGACGGUACCCAAAGAAUAAGCACCGGCUAACUUCGUGCCAGCAGCCGCCGUAA